rfam:Dipodomys ordii contig_71220, whole genome shotgun sequence.
GUGGCUCAGUGGUAGAGUGCUUGCCUAGCAUGCAUGAAGCCCUGGGUUCAAUUCCUCAGC